GCACGAGGCACGCACUCACUUUCUCCUCCUCUGUCCCCCACGAAUGUCGCAGGACCGACCACACCCAAAGGCAUCCAGACUCCAGCCGCCCGCUCACCCGCCCGCACCACGCCACCCUCACCCGCAAGCACCUCUGAGCCGGACAGUGGCUCCCCAGAGGCGGACACAUCUCUUAGUGCCGGGGGCUCCUCCACGGAGACGCCCCCUCGGGACAGUGCCAGUGGGCCCGGUGUGACAGAUGCCGCGUCAGCACCCCGGACACCGUCCACAGACCCCCAGGCACCCGCUGCCGGACCUGGCUCCCAGGCACCCAGCGUGGCUCCCCCGCCCUCACUCACUCCGGCCCCCGGUGGCCCGGGGACAGCAGGGACCCCGGCAGAGACGGCCCCCUCCAGCGCCUUCCCUGCAGACACCGCACACAGCAGCUCGGCUGCCUCACCCACACGCACC